ACCCACGAGCGUUGAAAAGCUCGGGGAUGACUUGUGGGUAGCGGUGAAAUUCCAAUCGAGCCCGGAGAUAGCUGGUUCUCCCCGAAAUAGCUUUAGGGCUAGCCUCAAGGUGAGAGAUACGGAGGUAGAGCACUGAAUGUCCUAGGGGGUAUUGCACCUACCGAAGACUAUCAAACUCCGAAUGCCGUCAUCUUAUACUUGGGAGUCAGACUGUGGGUGAUAAGAUUCAUAGUCGAAAGGGCAACAGCCCAGAUCGUCAGCUAAGGUCCCUAAAUGUAAGUUAAGUGGUAAAGGAUGUGGGAUUGCACAGACAACCAGGAUGUUGGCUUAGAAGCAGCCACUCAUUCAAAGAGUGCGUAAUAGCUCACUGGUCGAGUGAUCCUGCGCCGAAGAUUUCCGGGGCUAAAACUUACUACCGAAGCUACGGCAUCAGUAAUGAUGGGUAGGGGAGCUUCCCAUACGGGUUGAAGCAUGACCGUAAGGACAUGUGGACAGUAUGGGAGUGAGAAUGUUGGCAUGAGUAGCGAGAUGUGGGUGAGAAUCCCACAGGCCGUAAACCCAAGGUUUCCAGGGGAAGGUUCGUCCGCCCUGGGUUAGUCGGGACCUAAGCUGAGGCCGAAAGGCGUAGGUGAUGGACAACAGGUUGAUAUUCCUGUACUACCGAUAACCGUUUGAGAGAAGGGAUGACACAGUAGGAUAAGCUAAGCACACUGUUGGUUAUGUGUGCCCAAGCAUUGAGGCAGUCAAAGUAGGCAAAUCCGCUUUGAUAAUGCUGGGAUGUGAUGGGGAGCGAAAUUUAGUAGCGAAGUAGCUGAUUUCACACUGUCAAGAAAAGUCUCUAUCGAGGUUAAAGGUACCCGUACCGCAAACCGACACAGGUGGGUGAGGAGAGUAUCCUAAGGCCAGCGAGAGAACUGUUGUUAAGGAACUCGGCAAAAUGACCCCGUAACUUAGGGAUAAGGGGUGCCACCAUCAGGUGGCCGCAGAGAAUAGGCCCAAGCGACUGUUUACCAAAAACAUAGGUUUCUGCUAAGUCGCAAGACGAUGUAUAGGAGCUGACGCCUGCCCGGUGCUGGAAGGUUAAGGGGAUCUGUUAGAG
rnacentral:rRNA from 1 species